rnacentral:misc_RNA from 1 species
GAUGAAGAACGUAGUGAAAUGCGAUAAGUAAUGUGAAUUGCAGAAUUCAGUGAAUCAUCGAAUCUUUGAACGCACCUUGCGCCCUUUGGCCAUUCCGAAGGGCAUGCCUGUUUGAGUAUCAUGAACACCUCAACUCUUCAUGGUUUUCCGUGAUGAGCUUGGACUUUGGGGGUCUUGCUGGCCUAUGGUCAGCUCCUCUAAAAUAAAUCAGCUUGCCAGUGUUUGGUGGGUAUCACAGGUGUGAUAGCUAUCUACGCUUGUGGUUUUCCACCAGGUAACCUUCAGCAGUGGAGGUUCGCUGGAGCUCACAGAUGUGUCUCUCCUCAGUGAGGACAGCUCUUUGAAUGUUUGAUCUCAAAUCAGGUAGGACUACCCGCUGAACUUAAGCAUAUCAAUAAGCGGAGGA